rnacentral:rRNA from 1 species
AGAGGGGUGCAAGCGUUAAUCGGAAUUACUGGGCGUAAAGAGCUCGUAGGUGGGGUUAAAUCAGUUAUCUGUGAAAUAUCCGGGGCUUAACCUGGAGGUGUCAGGUAAUACUGUUUAACUAGAGUACAGUAGAGGGUAGUGGAAUUUCCAGUGUAGCGGUGAAAUGCGUAGAUAUUGGAAGGAACAUCAGUGGCGAAGGCGUCUACCUGGACUGAUACUGACACUGAGGAGCGAAAGCGUGGGUAGCAAACAGGAUUAGAUACCCUGGUAGUCCACGCCGUAAACGAUGACAACUAGCUGUUGGCCUCUUCGGAGGUUAGUGGCGCAGCUAACGCGAUAAGUUGUCCGCCUGGGGAGUACGGCCGUAAGGUUAA